rnacentral:lncRNA from 1 species
UUUACCUUAUCUCUUUUAACUAUUUAUGAACAAUGUACAUUUUUGUGCAUAGAAUGGAAUGGUUCUAACAGCUUUGAUCAGUUUCUAAGUUCUUCAUCAUGUCUGCGUAGUGAAUUCUGUAGAAUGUUUUUUUUGUUGUUGUUCCUUCUGCUUCAGUUCCCUGUUGUUAUAGCUGGAGGUUAGUAAACAGAGAGAAGCCUCAGCCAAGUGGCAUAAAAUAUACUUUUAUCCACAAAAAGAAUAUAUAUAUCUUUCCCUUUCCAAAUCCAUUUUAUUCCAGAAAUUUAUGCAUACAACAGGAAAUAGGAUUUGGAUAGCAAGCGAUAUAGCAACACAUUUAUCGAAUUUAUUCAUUCAAGCGUUUGGAAAACAGGAGUCUGGAUAGCAAAGGUUCAGAUAGUGAGAGGGAUUCCUGCACAUUCACAGACUGGGUUUCUUUUGUUAACAUAUUUUUAUUCAAAAAUGCAUUUACCAGUCUUUGCUUUUUGAUGAAUUGACCUUGAGCUGACAAUGUGACUUUCAUUCAUGGCAUUUCUGAGCCCUCAUUCCUGGCCAGGACACAGAGGUACCACAUCCCACUGCACCCUGCCCCAACUCACAGGAGAGAUGGUCUGGGAUGCUCUUGGAAUUUUGCUGUGACUUUCCCAAAAUCUACAGUAAGUUGGACAAGUCCCUGUCCCUCUCUGGCCUCAGUUUCACCAUCAGUGAAAUGAGGGGAUGAACCAGAUUAAGGGCUCUCUAACUACAUGGCUGCACUUCAGAACCCCCUUCCCUGGGGAAACAUCCCCCACCCGGGUCCCUGGAUGAGGAGGGACCUCAUCCAGGUUCUGCUGAGGAGGCCUAGGGACAGCAUUUCCACAUAUUUCCUGAAUGAUUCCUCAGCAGCCAUCCCAGCCCAAGCCACUUUCCUGAGCAUGGAAGCCUCCAGAAUUGGUGGCCAGAUCUACCAACCUUGUGGCUGUGCAAUUCACCUCAUUCAAUCCUCAUGGCAGCCCAGGAGACAGACCAUCUUAUUCCCACUUUGCACAUGAAGGGCUGAGUUUCUGAGAGGUCAUAACUCAUUCAAGUUAGAUCCUAGUCUAUUGGACACCUACUUACUGUCUGCCAGUCACUGUGCUAGGUCUAAGCUACAGAGAUGAGCAGAGGACAGCCACCAGACCCUUGGGAGAAAGAUUGGCGUAAAAUCAAAUAAGAGUAAUAAUUGACAUAUUGCCAAGCCAUCCCAUCUGCCUGGUGUGUCAGAUAAGAGUCCCAGAGCAGGAAAUGGUUGGCCGUGGUCUAGCAAGGUGAGCAGGGAGGAGUUCACUGGGCAAAUGUGAGGAGGGGGCAUUGUAAGAGGAAGGAGGAGCACAGGAGCCCAGGGCCAGAGGCAGGAGACUGACACUGUGCCUGGAAUUGGGAACCAGCAGCUGGUGAAAGUGCAAAGGUAGACAGAAAUUAGAACACAGAAGGCCUUAAUGUGUAGAACUGCCCUGAAGCCAGUGGGAAGCUACUGUUGGGUUUUAAGCAGGAGGCAUGGACUGACCAGGUUUGCAUGUGAGAAUUGAUUCUAGAAGCUGGGUGGAGACGGAGGUUGAUGCUGAGACCUGAGGCUGGAGACCACUCCCCCGUUCCAUCCACUUCUCAGCCUCCGUUUUCUCUGUGGAAAAGUCCAGAUCCCGACUUAUACUGUCUCUGUCUUACGGAUUAGUGUGAGAGUCAAAUGAGAUCAUUAUUGCCAAUAGGCUCUGUCAAUACAUAGAAUUUAGUUGACCAUUUUCAUUGUCUUCACUUGUGGGUUAAAUAAACACUAAAAUAAAAACAUCAGGGAGCCUGGCUGAGCAGGGAAUAACCUCUUGGAGGAAGGAAAACAUUCCCCUUUAUAUGUCAGCAACUUUGACCCUAGAGGGAAUCAGAACCCAUGCCUUUGGGGGGUGUUCCUGCAGACACAGAGCUGUUCUCCCCCUGGGAACCUCACCACUGCUCAAAAUGUAAUGCAAACAUGAACUGACUUAGUUAUCUCAAUGUUCAAACUUGAAAAAAAAUAAACAUUAUGUUCCAAAA